rnacentral:rRNA from 1 species
GACGAACGCUGGCGGCGUGCUUAACACAUGCGAGUCGAACGGAAAGGCCCUGCUUUUGUGGGGUGCUCGAGUGGCGAACGGGUGAGUAACACGUGAGUAACCUGCCCUUGACUUUGGGAUAACUUCAGGAAACUGGGGCUAAUACCGGAUAUGAGCUCCUGCUGCAUGGUGGGGGUUGGAAAGUUUCGGCGGUUGGGGAUGGACUCGCGGCUUAUCAGCUUGUUGGUGGGGUAGUGGCUUACCAAGGCUUUGACGGGUAGCCGGCCUGAGAGGGUGACCGGCCACAUUGGGACUGAGAUACGGCCCAGACUCCUACGGGAGGCAGCAGUGGGGAAUAUUGCACAAUGGGCGGAAGCCUGAGGGAGCAACGCCGGGUGCGGGAUGACGGCCUUCGGGUUGUAAACCGCUUUCGCCUGUGACGAAGCGUGAGUGACGGUAAUGGGUAAAGAAGCACCGGCUAACUACGUG